GAACAAUUGGUUAUCUAAACUUACCUAGCCAGCCAUAUGCCAACAUUAUUUCAAUACAAAUUGAGCAAUUAAUGUUACACUUCUUAAUAUGAAGACUUGCAAUCUAUGAUACAUGGCCUACCAUGCAAAACUUGCAUCAUAAAUACACAAAAAAUCUUAGAUUGAUAAAUUAAUUUAGUUUAGUUUAUUUAUAAAUUGGUAACUUUGACUAUAAGCUAGUUAUAACCUAGUUUUAAAUAUAAGCUAAAAGUUAUACAUUCAUAUUACAAGACUAUAUUUUCUAAGAAAUUAGAUGUUAAGCCAAUAAAGGUUCAUAUAUUGAUUUUCUGAGGCAAGCAAAUGCAAUAAAUAUGAAAAGUAAGAUUUUCAAUGAACCACAACGAUAAAGACCUACCCAAUGCCACCUAGUGGAAUGCCU
rnacentral:misc_RNA from 1 species